AAGGAAAGCCAGCUAUGUCAUGUGGACACUCGAGCAGUCCUCUGGAGUGAGCCACAUGGUGAAAAAUGGAGUCCUCCUGCCACCAGCCAAAAGGGACUUGCCAGCCUUGUGACUGAGCUGGCCCAGACACUCCAGCCCCAGUUAAACCUUUGGAAGACUGUGGCCUCGCCAACAUCUUGACUGCAACUUCGUGAGAGACCCAGAGCUAGACCCAUGCAACUAAGCUGCUCCCCAAUUCCUGGCCCACAGACACUGGGAGAGAUAAUACAUGUUUAUUUCUGUUCGAAGCUGCUAAGUUUUGGGUAAUUUGUUUUGCAGCAAUAGGUAAUUGAUAGCAUUAGGAAACAUUAGCUAAUGCUAACAAUGUUUUGCAGAUGAGGGAAUUGAGGCAUAAAAGUAACUUGCCCCAGGUCACACAGGAAUCAGGACACUUUGCCUGCUCAGAGGGAGAGAGGGAAAGAGACAGAGACACAAACACAGAGAGACAGUGACACGGAGAAGUGCGCCGUGGGCUCACAGUACCAUGUGAAGGACUGGGGCUGCCCUUCUGUAAAGUGAAGGCAGUGGAGAAGUGAAGUGAAGUGUAAAUGAAGCGGAAAGUGAAGGAUGGUGGAGAGCACCCUUGCCCUUGCAGCCUGGCUGUGCUUGGCUUGGGGCUGCUGGUCUCUGACCCUGGCUGGGCUGGUGACACAGCCUAAGAGGAGCUCCCAUUGGAUGGAGGAGCCAACGACGACAGUCCAGUGUGAUCAGGGAGAUUGGGACACACAGUGCCGUGGGGGCCCAGAGGAGCAGGGAGGAUCUCUGUGGAGGAGGCGAGAAGUCUUCCCAGAGGAGGAGGCAUUUGAGAAAUUAACCAGUUUAUGUGCCCUGAAAAAUUCCCACUUCCACCCUCUGGGUUCGCAUGCUGGCUCAGUCACUUACUAGCUGUGUGACCUCUCUGCUGCUUAGUUUACUCAUCUGUAAAAUGGGAUAAACACAAAACCUGCCUGAUGGAGAUGUCGUAAGGAUCAAAGAGGAAAAAGAAUUUAAAACAUUUAGAAUGGUGCGUGACCCCCAGCAAGUAUACAAUAAAUAUUGGCUAUUGUUGUUA